GAUGAACGCUGGCGGCGUGCUUAACACAUGCAAGUCGAACGGAAAGGCCAUGAUCUUGUGGGGUGCUCGAGUGGCGAACGGGUGAGUAACACGUGAGUAUCCUGCCCUUGUCUUUGGGAUAACUUCAGGAAACAGGGGCUCAUACCGGAUAGGAGCUCCUGCUGCAUGGGGGGGGAUGGAAAGUUUCGGCGGUUGGGGAUGGACUCGCGGCUUAUCAGCUUGUUGGUGGGGUAGUGGCUUACCAGGGCUUUGACGGGUAGCCGGCCUGAGAGGGUGACCGGCCUCAUUGGGACUACGGUACGGACCAGACUCCAACGGUAGGCAGCAGGGGGGAAUAUUGCGCAGUGGGCGGACGCCUGUUGCGACAGCGCCGCGUGCGUGAUGACGGCCUUCUGGUUGAAAACCGCUUUCUCCUGUGACGAAGCGUGAGUGACGGUAAUGGGUAAAGAAGCACCGGCUAACUACGUG
rnacentral:rRNA from 1 species